rnacentral:lncRNA from 1 species
CAGUAUAAAAUAUAGGCGGAUGUUUCAAAAUGACAGAGAAGACGUUCUGUGCAGGCAAAUAACAUGAAGUCUCCUGUCCCUGCAUUAAUCUUUGUACUGGUUACAUUUGUGCAUUUCAACUCAGCCUCCUCAGAAUGGACUGGAGAUUUAAACGGAAAACUCGCUUUUUGGGACACAGGCGUCAACCUGGAGGGUGACGAUCAGACGCCAUGUUUUCAUUUUUGCGCCACGGACGGAGACUGUCCUGAUCCGUUGAGGUGCACUGUGAGCGGGUGUGGGCAUAUAUGCACAGACCCAAACCAAGACAAAUUAUGGGAUUUUGAUUUCAAUAUAAAAAAUAACUCGACGGAGCCGUGCGUCGAUAGCUGCAUGACUGACGACGACUGCCCGGACAACAUGAACUGCCUCAUGAGCGGAUGUGGACGCAUGUGCUUGGACGCAAGCCAGAAUUUUCCUUUCCCUAUUGAAAUGACUGGACUUUGUGGUUCAGCCUCUAACCUGGGAAUCAAUACACUGAUGCCGUGCAUUAAUCUGUGCUACGACGAUGAUGACUGCCCCGAAAGCAAGACGUGCGCCAUCCAGGGAUGUGGACGGAUGUGUAUGGACCCAACCACUGAAGGAACUGGACUGUGGGAUCUGGAUUCCGAUCUGGGAAAAGACCCGUUGGAUUCCAUUGGUUCAGAUUUGACCUCGGGAAUGGGACUCAAUCCGUGGGAUUUGGACCCUACUCUGGGAAAAGACCCGUUGGAUUCCAUUGGUUCAGAUUUCACCUCGGGAAGCGGACUCAAUCCGUGGGAUUUGGACCCUACUCUGGGAAAAGACCCAUUGGAUUCCAUUGGUUCAGAUUUGACCCCGGGAAUCGGACUCAAUCCGUGGAAUUUGGACCCCACUCUGGGAAAAGACCCAUUGGAUUCCAUUGGUUCAGAUUUGACCUCGGGAAUCGAUGAUGUAUUGCCUUUGCCUUUAGAAGCCCCUAAACUGUGUGGCUCAGAUUGCAAUCCGGGAAUGGACCCAUUGAUACCAUGUCUUAAUUCGUGCUCCAGCGAUGACGACUGCCCCAACAGCAUGAAGUGCUCCGUCCAGGGAUGUGGACGGACGUGCACUGCGUCAACUGACGGAGAGCCUCCUCUGGGGGAUUUGGACUCCACACCGGACAGUGAACCCUGGAACCCCUGUGUUGAUCUGUGCUCUAAUGACGACCAGUGUCCCGAAAACAUGAAGUGUGUGAAGAAGGGAUGUGAACGGCGGUGCGUGGCCUCAAACCAAGAUAAGAGUGAUGAGUGGUCUUGGAAAUUUGACGAAGGAGAAAAUCCUGAAGGAUGGGAGUGGAGCUCCGACGAGGAAACUGGUUUCAAGGAGUCAGACAUCGAGAAGCUGUGGGUUUGGGAUGAGGAUAAGGACAGUGACAGUUCCACUGCAGACCUUUUCAAAAAGCUUGCGCAGUUAAGGAACAAUUUGGAAGAUUUGGAGGGAAGUGCCACUUCAGGAUUUCUAGGUGAGUUCUUACAAAGAUGUAUUUUGCUCCUUGGCUAUUGGCCAGUCUAUAACUGUGCAACUCCAAUCACACCCAGCAGAUGGCAGUAUUGGAACGUUGUAAUAGAAAAGCCCUGACACUGGCGCCACAGUUUCUUCAGCCUCAUAUGGGUGCAAACUGAAGGCGUG